GAUGAACGCUGGCGGCGUGCCUAAUACAUGCAAGUCGAGCGAACAGACGAGGAGCUUGCUCCUCUGACGUUAGCGGCGGACGGGUGAGUAACACGUGGAUAACCUACCUAUAAGACUGGGAUAACUUCGGGAAACCGGAGCUAAUACCGGAUAAUAUAUUGAACCGCGUGGUUCAAUAGUGAAAGACGGUUUUGCUGUCACUUAUAGAUGGAUCCGCGCCGCAUUAGCUAGUUGGUAAGGUAACGGCUUACCAAGGCGACGAUGCGUAGCCGACCUGAGAGGGUGAUCGGCCACACUGGAACUGAGACACGGUCCAGACUCCUACGGGAGGCAGCAGUAGGGAAUCUUCCGCAAUGGGCGAAAGCCUGACGGAGCAACGCCGCGUGAGUGAUGAAGGUCUUCGGAUCGUAAAACUCUGUUAUUAGGGAAGAACAAAUGUGUAAGUAACUAUGCACGUCUUGACGGUACCUAAUCAGAAGGCCACGGCUAACUACGUG
rnacentral:rRNA from 1 species